GACGAACGCUGGCGGCGUGCUUAACACAUGCAAGUCGAACGGAAAGUCCCUGCUUUUGUGGGGUGCUCGAGUGGCGAACGGGUGAGUAACACGUGAGUAACCUGGCCUUGACUUUGGGAUAACUUCAGGAAACUGGGGCUAAUACCGGAUAGGAGCUCCUGCUGCAUGGUGGGGGUUGGAAAGGUUCGGCGGUUGGGGAUGGACUCGCGGCUUAUCAGCUUGUUGGUGGGGUAGUGGCUUACCAAGGCUUUGACGGGUAGCCGGCCUGAGAGGGUGACCGGCCCCACUGGGACUGAGAUACGGCCCAGACUCCUACGGGAGGCAGCAGUGGGGAAUAUUGCACAAUGGGCGGAAGCCUGAUGCAGCAACGCCGCGUGCGGGAUGACGGCCUUCGGGUUGUAAACCGAUUUCGCCUGUGACGAAGCGUGAGUGACGGUAAUGGGUAAAGAAGCACCGGCUAACUACGUG
rnacentral:rRNA from 1 species